AUGUAUAGAAAUUGUUCUUAAAUCAGCAUGACCAAUUUAGUAACACAUUCUCCUUGCUCUGGUGAUGUAUUUUCUAGUGUGCUCCAAGUCCUAAUUCCAGAGGUCUCCCGCAAAGACAAAAAAAGCUUCUAUCAAAGGUUUGGCCAGUUUAUAUUUAAGAUCCGUUAUUCGGUGUUCUUCUAUGCUUCGACCAGGUUCCAAAAAUCACUAACAAGUGCCAAGCAAUAUUUGGUUUCAGAAAGUACACAGCAGGAUUGCAGACUAUCCAAAAUAAGCGCAGAGGCCCCGUUCAGGAAAGCAAUUUACUGCCUUCCCUGCAUCUGCAAUGUGUGACUCGCACUGUGCAAAAGGAAUCGGUCAAGGCCACCAGUGAGAAAAUAUUCAGGAGGAAACAAGAGCAGCAGCGUGCUUUUGAAAGGCGGCUGCACAUGCUCUCAUCCUGAAUAUACGACCCAAAAUGUUGCCUUUCACCCCGAGAUGUUACCUUCACUCAAUUCUUGGUUUCCAUGGAAGUCGAGCGUUUCCAAUCUUCACCUCCACCGGCACCUAUCAGCACAACUAAUAUUAACGCUAUGUAUUUGGAUUCCACCAUUGUCUGCCUUACUAAUAUUAAAUGAAUCUCAGGACAGAUGUGACGAUGCUUUCUCAGGGUGGCUCAUUUGGAAACCAGAGGAGGACCCAGGAGGCCUGCUUCCCAGAUUGAGAUCCGGAAACCAGAUCCACGUCCCUCAGGCAGUUUCCCCCUCAACUUUUGCUUCCCUACAACGACGCUCAAGGGAACUGCUUUUGAGAAGUUCCCAUCAGAGCACUACUGCCUCGAGGUAUUGGUAGCAGGGCUGCUGCCAAAGAGAUGAGCCAGCUAGAGCCCACCCAACUCUUCCAUUUCUUUGUAUACUGCUGCACCAUGGUCUGAACAGUGCAGAGGACAACCAACAGAUUUCCUAACUAGAUAAGUCACCAAAGGAAGCUGGGGAAGGGCUGUUUGAUGUAGAAGUAUGUUUUCCAGUGUUUCCUGCUGAAGAUAUGCGAGAAGAAAAGGGAUAAAAGAAAUCUAGGGACUGAAUGAGUAUUUCCAUGAUCAAAGACAGCUGUGGCGAAUGCUGAAGAUGUCCUGCUGGGUGGCCAGAAGGACUGCCCCCCUCCUGCCUCCUUUGGGAAGCGACAAAAUCGACGUUCAGGCCUAGGCAACUCGGUGCGAGGGGCACAAGGAUAUCUCCAGCUUUCUCCGUCGGCUGCGGAUCAGCCUCACUAAAGACAGGCUCCUCUACAGCAGGCUUGGGGGUGGACUGUCAUGAGAUGGCUCACCAGAUGAACAGUGCUUUGGUGCUGGGAAGGGGCAGCUCCCCCUCCACCCUAACUGCUGGACGUGUGGUCCCUUCUCCUGCGCAGGCUCUGCUGGUGAACCAGUUCUGAUCUCAAAGUGGAAAAUAAUCCCUUUUGUCUUUUCUUCCUCCCUCUCACCCCCUCAGGUUAAUUGUCUCCUGGUAUAAUGAGGUGAAUCAGCGAGCAAAGGAGGCAGCUGAGGGCCGGAGCCAUAGCAAGGGAAGUGGUGGGUGGGCAUGGGACCAAGGUGGAGAGGAGGAUUGCCUGUGCAGCAGCACAGACAGGAGAGCUCCUCUUUGCCCUCUCUGAACCUUUCCUCUGCUCAGCUCCUCUGAACUGCUCUCCACCAUGUCCGGAGAGAGCUGUUGACCAGCUACUUGUCACUGUGAAUUUACUGUCAGCAUGUCUUUCAUCAGCACCAAAGCCAGACGAGACUGUUUUACUACAAGAAAACAAAAGAAACAGAAACCAAUUCUACCAACAAGAGUUUAGCUACCCACCUUUGGUAACCCACUAAAGAAAGGAAUGAAAGAGAAAGGGAAAGCCGAGAAUUUAGGUUUUGUGAAAGUGGAAGACCCACCAGUAGAAGGAAAGAAGUUCCUUGCAUCUCCCAGGUAAAUUUGCUUCAUGAAUGCUGCUCGACAACGGCCUUGGCGAGCUCGUUCGGCAACCUGGAUUGCUUUAAUGGCUUCUUCAAAUGUCAUGGCCUUGAGAGGUUUCUUCAAUGGUACAGCCAAAGCAAAAAGGAAUGGACAAAGCAAAGUAUUAGUUAUGUGUUUUGUUAAUUGCCUACCUCAGCAAACAAAACAACCAAUGAACUUCUUGUGGAAACUGAGACAAAAAAUCCCCGUCACAAGCAGUAGAGGCUCCUGGUUCAGUGCUAUCUUGGAAGUUUGAUAUCUUGCUUUUUCUGAGGACCUUCAGGAGAAAGGGAACCUGAGGUGUUGAUGCGUGCCAAGGAAAGCCUGAUGCUACAGUGAGGAAACAACAGCAGCUCUGUAUGGAUUAUGCGUCCUGCUGAACUUUAUCCAUUUGAGAAAAAAAGACAAAAAGAACCACAGGGCUUUGUCCUAUUAAAAGGAGGAUUUCUUAAGCUAUGGAAUGUCUUCCUCUUACAUUUCUGGACAUGCUGCUGGGCCACCAGCUCUCUUGCUGAAUGGAAGGGACAGGCUGUUCUGAGCCAGCCCAGGCCUGGUCAGCCCAGCCUAAGUAGAAGAAGCUUGGGAAAAAACAUGUCAGAACAGUGCAGCUGGAGAGAGGGACUCCCCCUUCUCACU